UACAGAGGAGCCAAGCGUUGUCCGGAUUGACUGGGCGUAAAGCGCACGCAGGCGGUCGCGCGCGUGGGGUGUGAAAUCUGGCCGCUUAACGGCCAGGCGCCAUCCCAUACGGCGCGACUGGAGUGAUGCAGAGGUCGGUGGAAUUGCCGGUGUAGUGGUGAAAUGCGUAGAGAUCGGCAGGAACACCCAGGGGGAAACCAGCCGACUGGGCAUUGACUGACGCUGAGGUGCGAAAGCGUGGGGAGCGAACAGG
rnacentral:rRNA from 1 species